rnacentral:lncRNA from 1 species
AGGGCAGUGAUGUGUGAACUUGGGUAUAUGGGCACAGGAAGGAAAGUAAGCUGGGGGUCUACGGGGACCCCUCAAAGUCUGAAGUAUCCAGACUGGGUCUCGGCUGUCCAGGCAGGGCACAGGAGGGAGAGGGGCCUGGACAGGGCAGGAGGGCUAUUCAGGGCAGAUGCAAAGGCCAAGUCAAGGGCAGAGCGCAGGAGUGUGUGUUGGGGGCGGGGGUUGCCAGAUGUGGGAGGUGUUGGGGGAGGCCUCCGCGUAGCCGCAUGUGGGCUGUGGGGCAUUUGGUCAAUCCCAUGCCUGCCUGACCAGCUACCUGUGCAGCCAAUUCCACAGGCCCUAAUCCCUGUGUUUUGCUGGAAUCUUCCCUGGCAUCUGCUUUAGGCUUCCCAGCCCUGAGCCAUAAGGGAGGAGGCCCUUGCUGAGAGGGCCCCUCCUGGGAGAAACCCGAGACAGCCCCGAGUCAUGUGACCGGCACUGCACACCUGGGUCCGUGGGGUCCAAGGACUCAGGCCCAGCCUAAGGGAUGGUGUCUCACCCAGGAAGCUCAAGGUGGGCAGGGAGUGGGGGGCUGGCCCCCCACCCUCUCCAGGGCUCAGGGGCUGGUCGCUGAGCAGGACCUACAGCAGGAGGAGGCCUGGGGACCUGCUGAGACCAGGUGGCUGUCUCCAGGAAGCAGCCUUGCCCGUCUCCUGCCUCUGGGGUAGCCCUCAAGGCUGGGACCCCGCCUGCCAGCCCAGGAGGGCGCCAGGGGAUGCGCCACGAGGCUAACAGGUCCUAGGUGCCUUGUGGCAGCCUUCACUGGUGUCAGUUACUCCUGCUUCCCCGGCGCUCACGUGGCCCCGGCCACCCUUAGAUGAGGAAGGACGCUAACCUGGCAGAGGGUCAGGGAGGAAGGCUGGGGAGUUACUGCAAGGGGUGGGGGAGGGGACAGCUGGCAGGGCACAAGCCAACCUCCUCUUCCUCAGAACAAAUCCAGGAAGCAUUGCCCAGUGACCCUUCUGGGGACAGGCUGGCACCUGCCAGAAUGUGGAGUGGCAGGGAAAUGAAAUUCCCUGGGACCACUGUGAAAGGCGACUAAGCUACCGCCUGACCAAAGUGAGCCCCAGAGAGUUCUGUGGACAGCAGGGUUGCUACAGCCUGCCCUCAUGGGUACAGAGUACCCUCCUGGGAACACUACCAAGAUGGGGGAGACAGAGGCCACCUCCCCAUGCCUAACAGCUACUUAGAGUCCGGCCUAGCUCUGUCUGACCCAAAGACCAUGCCUUGCUCUUGACUUGCUCUUGACUUCUUGCUCUUUUUUUUUUUUUUUUUUUUGAGACAGAGUCUUGCUCUGUUACUCAGGCUGGAGCGCAAUGACAUGAUCUCGACUCACUGCAACCUCCACCUCCCAGGUUCGAGCGAUUCUCCUGCCCCAGCCUCCCCAGUAGCUGGUGCUACAGGCACACGCCAACACGCCGGGCUAAUUUUUGUAUUUUUAUUAGAGACGGGGUUUCAUCAUGUUGGCCAGGCUGGUCUUGAACUCCUGACCUCAGGUGAUCCGCCUGCCUCAGCCUCCCAAAGUGCGGGGACUUGGUCUUGACUUUGAAGCACCAGGGCCCCCCUGAGGGAGUGCGGGAAGAGCUGGAGAAGCCAAGGUCAAGAGUGGAAGGACUUGGGGAGUGGUGGAGCCUGGAGCUGUGUGCCCACUCCAGACCCUGGCUCUAGGGAGCCUGGACCCUGAAGCAGGGAUACAAAGCCCAUGGGCCUCAUCCCUUCCACUCAGGGGCAAGAAGAGGAGGCAAUGAUUAAUUUCUAAAAGGCUGAGCUCAAAAGGAGGAGGUGGGAGAUCGAGGAACAACUAAACCAACUUCUCUAUUGGAGGCCUUCUCAGCACUGUGAUUGUCAAUCUUUUUCCUACAAUUAUUUGACCAAAGAGCCCUUUUCUACCUUUUAAGGAGACUACAUUAAGCAAUUAUACAGGUUUGUUCCCUAGAGAGAAAUAAAUCACAUAUACAUACAUAGCAUGAGGUAUUGCCCAUAUAUUUGAGCGUGAGAACCCUUUCUUUAUGGAGCCUGGCACACAAAACAAGGGAAUUACUUAACAAACUGUUCCUUGGCAAUGAAUCUGCCAAGAAAAGCACUAGUGGCUGCACCUACCUUCAAAGCCAGCAGCUGCUUAUGGAGACUGUUUAAAUCUAUUACUUUAAAUGAGGGCUCGGCAAAGUUCUGUAAGGGCCAAGCAGUAAACGUUAUUAGUUUUGUGGCUAGUCUCUGCAGCAGCUGUUCAACUCUGCCACUGUAAUGUGAAAGUGGCCAUGCACAAUAGGUAAACAAAUGAGCAGGCUGUGUGCGAAUAAAACUUUAUUUCUAGACACUGAGAUUUGAACUUCAUGUAAUUUUCACAUAUCAUGAAAUAUAAUUCCGGUGUUGAUAUUUCCAAUAAUUUAAAAAUGUAAAAAUCAUUCUUAGCUCACCAG